rnacentral:rRNA from 1 species
AUGAACGCUAGCUACAGGCUUAACACAUGCAAGUCGAGGGGCAUCAGGAAGAAAGCUUGCUUUCUUUGCUGGCGACCGGCGCACGGGUGAGUAACACGUAUCCAACCUGCCCUUUACUCGGGGAUAGCCUUUCGAAAGAAAGAUUAAUACCCGAUAGCAUAAUGAUUCCGCAUGGUUUCAUUAUUAAAGGAUUCCGGUAAAGGAUGGGGAUGCGUUCCAUUAGGUUGUUGGUGAGGUAACGGCUCACCAAGCCUUCGAUGGAUAGGGGUUCUGAGAGGAAGGUCCCCCACAUUGGAACUGAGACACGGUCCAAACUCCUACGGGAGGCAGCAGUGAGGAAUAUUGGUCAAUGGGCGCUAGCCUGAACCAGCCAAGUAGCGUGAAGGAUGAAGGCUCUAUGGGUCGUAAACUUCUUUUAUAUAAGAAUAAAGUGCAGUAUGUAUACUGUUUUGUAUGUAUUAUAUGAAUAAGGAUCGGCUAACUCCGUGCCAGCAGCCGCGGUAAUACGGAGGAUCCGAGCGUUAUCCGGAUUUAUUGGGUUUAAAGGGAGCGUAGGUGGACUGGUAAGUCAGUUGUGAAAGUUUGCGGCUCAACCGUAAAAUUGCAGUUGAUACUGUCAGUCUUGAGUACAGUAGAGGUGGGCGGAAUUCGUGGUGUAGCGGUGAAAUGCUUAGAUAUCACGAAGAACUCCGAUUGCGAAGGCAGCUCACUGGACUGCAACUGACACUGAUGCUCGAAAGUGUGGGUAUCAAACAGGAUUAGAUACCCUGGUAGUCCACACAGUAAACGAUGAAUACUCGCUGUUUGCGAUAUACAGUAAGCGGCCAAGCGAAAGCAUUAAGUAUUCCACCUGGGGAGUACGCCGGCAACGGUGAAACUCAAAGGAAUUGACGGGGGCCCGCACAAGCGGAGGAACAUGUGGUUUAAUUCGAUGAUACGCGAGGAACCUUACCCGGGCUUAAAUUGCAGUGGAAUGAUGUGGAAACAUGUCAGUGAGCAAUCACCGCUGUGAAGGUGCUGCAUGGUUGUCGUCAGCUCGUGCCGUGAGGUGUCGGCUUAAGUGCCAUAACGAGCGCAACCCUUAUCUUUAGUUACUAACAGGUCAUGCUGAGGACUCUAGAGAGACUGCCGUCGUAAGAUGUGAGGAAGGUGGGGAUGACGUCAAAUCAGCACGGCCCUUACGUCCGGGGCUACACACGUGUUACAAUGGGGGGUACAGAAGGCAGCUAGCGGGUGACCGUAUGCUAAUCCCAAAAUCCUCUCUCAGUUCGGAUCGAAGUCUGCAACCCGACUUCGUGAAGCUGGAUUCGCUAGUAAUCGCGCAUCAGCCACGGCGCGGUGAAUACGUUCCCGGGCCUUGUACACACCGCCCGUCAAGCCAUGGGAGCCGGGGGUACCUGAAGUACGUAACCGCAAGGAUCGUCCUAGGGUAAAACUGGUGACUGGGGCU